rnacentral:rRNA from 1 species
AGACAACUAGGAUGUUGGCUUAGAAGCAGCCAUACAUUUAAAGAGUGCGUAAUAGCUCACUAGUCGAGAAAACCUGCGCCGAAAAUGUAACGGGGCUAAAACACGACACCGAAGCUACGGAUUCCUUACAAAGUAAGGAGUGGUAGAGGAGCAUCCUGCAAGGACGAAGCCAAAGUGAGAGCGAUGGUGGACGAAACAGGAGAGAGAAUGCCGGAAUGAGUAGCGAGAUACAUGUGAGAAACAUGUAGGCCGAAUAUCUAAGGAUUCCUGGGUAAAGCUAAUCUUCCCAGGGUUAGUCGGGGCCUAAGGCGAGGACGAAAGUCGUAGUCGAUGGAUAACAGGUUGAUAUUCCUGUACUACACAUAAUCAGAACUGUGGGGACGCAGAAGGAUAGGGAAACCGGGGAAUGGAAAGACCCGGUCAAGCGUAAAGCUGUGGGAGAUAGGCAAAUCCGUCUUCUGUAAGUGAAACGUGAUGAGGACUGAAAAAAAGUAAGGAAGUUUCCGAAUCCACACUGCCGAGAAAAGCCGCUAUUGCGUUAUGUGUACCCGUACCGUAAACCGACACAGGUAGAUGAGGAGAAAAUCCACAGGCCGACGGGAGAAGUGUUGUUAAGGAACUCGGCAAAAUGACCCCGUAACUUCGGGAUAAGGGGAGCCUCGCAAGAGGCCGCAGAAAAGAGGCACAAGCAACUGUUUAGCAAAAACAUAGGUCUAUGCGAAACCGUAAGGUGAAGUAUAUGGGCUGACACCUGCCCGGUGCUGGAAGGUUAAAAGGAGAGGUCAGCGCAAGCGAAGCUUUGAAUUCAAGCCCCAGUAAACGGCGGCCGUAACUAUAACGGUCCUAAGGUAGCGAAAUUCCUUGUCAGGUAAGUUCUGACCCGCACGAAAGGCGUAAUGAUUUGUGCACUGUCUCGACAACACGCCCGGUGAAAUUGAAGAACCAGUGAAGAUACUGGUUACCCGCAACAGGACGGAAAGACCCCAUGGAGCUUUACUGCAGCCUGAUACUGGGAUUCGAUGAUAUAUGUACAGGAUAGGUGGGAGGCUAAGAAGCGAGAACGCUAGUUUUCGUGGAGCCGCCGGUGGGAUACCACUCUUAUGUCAUUGAAUUUCUAACCUGCAUCCGUAAUCCGGGUGAGGGACAAUGUCAGGCGGGCAGUUUGACUGGGGCGGUCGCCUCCUAAAAGGUAACGGAGGCGCUCGAAGGUCACCUCAGAAUGAUUGGAAACCAUUCAAAGAGUGUAAAGGCAAAAGGUGGCUUGACUGCGAGAGCGACGGCUCGAGCAGGUACGAAAGUAGGACUUAGUGAUCCGGUGGUAAUAAGUGGGAAUGCCAUCGCUCAACGGAUAAAAGCUACCCUGGGGAUAACAGGCUUAUCUCCCCCAAGAGUUCACAUCGACGGGGAGGUUUGGCACCUCGAUGUCGGCUCAUCGCAUCCUGGGGCUGAAGUAGGUCCCAAGGGUUGGGCUGUUCGCCCAUUAAAGCGGUACGCGAGCUGGGUUCAGAACGUCGUGAGACAGUUCGGUCCCUAUCCGUUGUGGGCGCAGGAAAUUUGAGAGGAGCUGUCCUUAGUACGAGAGGACCGGGA